UUAUUGUCUGAAAGGUAGGGACUAAAGAGGAAUCUUGAAGAAAGGUUUCUGGAGAUUGCUCUCAGGCACAGCUGGGGAGAGCAUGAUGAGCAGCACAGGAAGCACCAAGCCUGCGAUGAAAAAGAGAGCAAAGAGGGGAUAUAUGCAAAUGGGGAAAAAAGGCUGUGGUUGUUUGGUGGGAAUCAGACCUCAAGAACGCUCCUUGGCACCGCUCGUGUUUUUCCGAAACCAGCUUGUAAUGUCCCACGGAUAAUUACACGGGGCUGAAAUUCACAACUACAACUCUUAUUUCCGUGUAAUCGUUUUCAU
ensembl:lncRNA